GAUGAACGCUGGCGGCGUGCCUAAUACAUGCAAGUCGAGCGAACGGACGAGAAGCUUGCUCUUCUGAUGUUAGCGGCGGACGGGUGAGUAACACGUGGAUAACCUACCUAUAAGACUGGGAUAACUUCGGGAAACCGGAGCUAAUACCGGAUAAUAUUUUGAACCGCAUGGUUCAAAAGUGAAAGACGGUCUUGCUGUCACUUAUAGAUGGAUCCGCGCUGCAUUAGCUAGUUGGUAAGGUAACGGCUUACCAAGGCAACGAUGCAUAGCCGACCUGAGAGGGUGAUCGGCCACACUGGAACUGAGACACGGUCCAGACUCCUACGGGAGGCAGCAGUAGGGAAUCUUCCGCAAUGGGCGAAAGCCUGACGGAGCAACGCCGCGUGAGGGAUGAAGGUCUUCGGAUCGGAAAACUCUGUUAUUAGGGAAGAACAUAUGUGUAAGUAACUGUGCACAUCUUGACGGUACCUAAUCAGAAAGCCACGGCUAACUACGUG
rnacentral:rRNA from 1 species